UUGGUGUGCACAGUGUGAUGUGUAUUCUAUGUUUCCAUUUUUAAAAAGUCAUUGACACCCCACAAGAACAGUUACGAUGCAAUAAAUGUGUCCACACUAUGGGAAGUAAUACUUCUCUCAUAGUACUGUCAGAUGUCUUAGAAAAUUAUAGUCAGUCCUCAGCCUAACUGAUGGGGGAGAAUGUCUGUAAUUUUCUCCAGUUGGUCAUGGCCAUGCUACUGGGGGAUGAUGAGACUUGUAGUGUAACAAUUCUAAAGGGACCAGGUUGACUGAUGCUAUUUAAGUCCAACCCAUGGUUAAAACAAAAUGUGGGCCUUGGUGCAGAGUUUGUCCUUUGCUCUCCUCAUCUCUCCUCCAGUUUUGCCUCCUUUUUUGCUCUUCCAUGAAAAACCAUAUACAAAAAGGCAAACAGAGGACAUUGAAAUGGGAGAACUCCAGAGGAAUUAUUUACUUGCAAAAAUUACAUCAGUGUAACCUCUGUGGUACAUUCUGUAUGUUGUUUUUUAUUCUUAAAAUCAAUAAACACUUUAGGGAAGAGAUGAAGAAGAAAGGAACCAUACAGUAGUACACACAGUGUGUGGUGUUGGCACUUUGAGCAAAGAGAGACGGAACCUGUGAAAAGCACUGUGAAACAAGUGAGUUAUUUGUGUGGCCGUGUGAUCCAAAAUGGAAGACAUGUGUCACACUACAGAUCUGUGUGACUUGGCAGGCAUGCAUUAGACACGAACUGUGGGGCCUCCUGGGUUUUCUGCCACCACCCUUCAUAUUCUUGGCUGUCAUCUUAAUCCUCUUUAAAACCCACCCUUUCCAGUGAUUUGAUUCCCACAUCUUUUUUCCCCUCUUUAUUUUUCAGAACAGCCAAAAAGAGCAGCAUCUUGAGCAGCUGAAAGCUGUUCAGGUCCAGAACUGCAGCACAAGACACACUCAGGAGGAGAAGCAUUGGCCUCUCUUGGCUCACAUCUACAGCCAAAUUACCUAUUUACAACAGUGCAGAUGCACAUCAGUGAAAGCUGCACAAAACCUGACAUAUUCCAAUGACUUGUAGGAAGUAGAGGCUGAGAUCUCCAUUGAAAGAUUAAUUCUUAUUGUUUUCUGUUCUGUGAGACUUUUGGAAAACUUCUCAUCAUCUGCUUCCAGAACAUCCUUUAUCCAUGAAAUUAGGAUUAUUCAUCUAGUCUGCCACUUUUUCCAUUCAAUACAUUCUUCAUCUUGAAGGUAAUAACCUUUUCAGCUGAUGGGAUUCUACUUGAGAACUUACCCAAGAACAUCAGAACUCCUCCUGGUUUUCUCAGUCUAAUGGAAACCUAUCUGGAUGGGAUUGUGAUUUUCUAUCAUGGCACCCAGACUGCAGAAUUCUUUCCCCUUUGAGCUUCACUGGACACUCUCAUUGACCCCCUUUUAAGCAUUCAUUGAUUUUUAUUUCUGUGAACAUUUUGGAUUUUUCAACUUUGUUUUUUGCACUUUCACCUCUGCUGGUUUAAUCUGCUUUUGUUAAAUAUUGCACUUCAUUCAUUUUUAGCUCAGCAUAACUGAGCAUUUUGUCUAUAAUUUUUAAUACAAAAAGGUAAAUAUCAAUGUAUUUCCUUAGAAUAUC